rnacentral:rRNA from 1 species
GACGAACGCUGGCGGCGUGCUUAACACAUGAAAGUCGAACGGAAAGGCUCCAGCUUGCUGGAGUACUCGAGUGGCGAACGGGUGAGUAACACGUGGGUAAUCUGCCCUGCACUCUGGGAUAAGCCUGGGAAACUGGGUCUAAUACUGGAUAUGACCUUUCUCCUUAUGGGGUUUGGUGGAAAGUUUUUCGGUGUAGGAUGAGCCCGCGGCCUAUCAGCUUGUUGGUGGGGUGAUGGCCUACCAAGGCGACGACGGGUAGCCGGCCUGAGAGGGUGAUCGGCCACAUUGGGACUGAGAUACGGCCCAGACUCCUACGGGAGGCAGCAGUGGGGAAUAUUGCACAAUGGGCGGAAGCCUGAUGCAGCGACGCCGCGUGAGGGAUGACGGCCUUCGGGUUGUAAACCUCUUUCAGCAGGGACGAAGCGUAAGUGACGGUACCUGCAGAAGAAGCACCGGCUAACUACGUG